CCCAGACUCCUACGGGAGGCAGCAGUGGGGAAUAUUGCACAAUGGGGGAAACCCUGAUGCAGCAACGCCGCGUGAGUGAAGAAGUAUUUCGGUAUGUAAAGCUCUAUCAGCAGGGAAGAAAAUGACAGUACCUGACUAAGAAGCCCCGGCUAACUACGUGCCAGCAGCCGCGGUAAUACGUAGGGGGCAAGCGUUAUCCGGAUUUACUGGGUGUAAAGGGAGCGUAGACGGCUGUGCAAGUCAGAAGUGAAAGCCCGGGGCUCAACCGCGGGACUGCUUUUGAAACUGUGUAGCUGGAGUGCAGGAGAGGUAAGUGGAAUUCCUAGUGUAGCGGUGAAAUGCGUAGAUAUUAGGAGGAACACCGGUGGCGAAGGCGGCCUACUGGACUGUAACUGACGUUGAGGCUCGAAAGCGUGGGGAGCAAACAGGAUUAGAUACCCGCGUAGA
rnacentral:rRNA from 1 species